rnacentral:rRNA from 1 species
UACGUAGGGGGCAAGCGUUGUCCGGAAUUAUUGGGCGUAAAGCGCGCGCAGGCGGUUUCUUAAGUCCGAUGUGAAAGCCCACGGCUCAACCGUGGAGGGUCAUUGGAAACUGGGGAACUUGAGUGCCGAAGAGAAAAGCGGAAUUCCACGUGUAGCGGUGAAAUGCGUAGAGAUGUGGAGGAACACCAGUGGCGAAGGCGGCUUUUUGGUAUGUAACUGACGCUGAGGCGCGAAAGCGUGGGGAGCAAACAGG